AAUGAAGCUCCCUCCAGUCACCUGCUGCAAGACACAUUAUCCAGCUUCCUAACCUUAAGGAUGAGACCCUAUCAAUAUUGCCUCUGCUUUUGUGAUCAGGGUAGUAGUGCAAUAUUGCUUAUAGGGUCUUGUCUUUCGAGGGUUAUUCUUCACGGAGAGAGAAGAAAGCCACAGCAGGAAAAAAAAUAAUCCUGUGUGCCUAUGGAGUUUAGGGAGAAGUUGUGAAAUGCUGAACGUUGUUAGAUAGGCAAGUAAUUGCGCAGAGACGUUUUCUGGUGACAAAUACUUGUGCUAUUGUGGUGACUCAGGUUGUGAAUCACACAGGAUUCAAAACGGCCUCGUGUUUAAACCACACAAGCAGUGAUUGAAACCGGAGAAACCCAUCAUGGCUCCAUUUUAAAACAGCGUGAGUCCCAAGACAUUUGAAGGGUGCCUGUUUUACAUAAUGAUGCAAACACCCACCAAGGGAUGGGAGGAGAUACGUAGCCACACUUGCUGUCUCUGUGCCUGAUCCCAGCCCGAAAACCAGUGCGAUGCGAAGCAGAGCACGCACAAAGAGGCCGAGGCUCUAAUCCCAAUAACCUCCAAACAAAGCUCAUGCCUCUGUCUGGCGAGCGCGGCCCGCCCAGCACUCGCUGCGGGCUCUGCGGCCAGGCCGGGCUGCCCAGGGCUGUGCCAGGGUCGGGUGGCGCAGCGGGGCAGAGGACUGACCCCGGCCCUUCUCGAGGGCUGUUCACCGAGCAUCAUUCCGGGGAGAGGAAGCCAGCUCGGGGACAAAGCCAGGAACCCUCCUUGGGCUCUUCCUCCGUGCCCCUAGCCCGACAGCUGGGCUGCAGGCCAUGGGGCGGCCGCGGCUGCUGGGCCAGCGCUGGGACCACCAGGCGGGCUGCCCCUCUUUCCCUGUUGCACUACUGUCACGGUCGCAGCGAGCAGUGCAAUAAUGAAAGGGCGUCAGUGCGCCGGGGAGCGGCGACAGCCGGUGACAGCGUGCGGGGCCGGGACGUCCCGCCGCCCCCUGAGAGCCACCUUAACGGGGGGAGGAAGCUUUGGUUGUGCAACUUUCUUUGUUAAAACACGCAGCGGCGAGCAGUGCGCGCAGGGGCAGGGCAAGGUGAGCGGCUCCGCACGCCGCCCUGCCCCGGGCCCGCUGCCAUGGCCGCUCCGCCAGUCCCACUCCCUUCGCACGGCCGCGAGGCCUGGGGCAGGACGAGCCACUGCUGUACACGGCCAAUAUCGAAUAAAUAAAGUGACUCCCA